UAAAAAAAUAAUAAGAACAUGAUGUUGGUUCAGAUUAAACGCUAAAUAAGGACAUGACACAUGCAAAUCAAACGUUUAUUAAUCAAAUGAUGAAAUAAAUAUGUGGUGUACACGUGAGUAAUUAUAUGGAAUUAUGAACUAUAAGAUAAGUUAAAUGCUUAAUAAAAAAUAUAUAAAAAUAUAUAGUAAAAAAAUGAAUAAAAAUCCUUUUAUUUGCUUAUAGUCAAGCCAAUAAUGGUUUAGGUAGUAGGUAGAGUAAAAGUUUACCUAGCCAACGAUCCAUAGUCGAUAAUGAAAGUUAUAACGAUCACGUUGACUCUGAAACAUAGUCAAUAUCUAAAUGAUACAGCAGUGAGGAAUAUUGGGCAAUGAUCGAAAGAUUGACCCAGUUACUUAUUAGGAUGAUAUAUAUUUAAUAAAAUAAAUAAUAAAAAAAAUAAAAAUUAUAUAAAUUGAUUAAAAAUAAAAUCCAUAAAUAGUGAAAAUAAUGAUAUAAACUACCAUAAUAAAAAUUAUGGAUAUAAUAUUAAUAUUAUAUUUUAAUAGUCCUAACCAAAAUUUGUGCCAGCAGCUGCGGUAAGACAAUGGGGGCUAGCGUUAAUCAUAAUGGCUUAAAGGGUCCGUAGAAUGAAUAAUAAAAAAGUUAUUUAGAGUUAAUAAAUUUAAUUAAAGAAUUAUAAUAGUAAGGAUGAAAUGAUAAUGAUCAUUAUAAGACUGGUAUAUGUGAAGGUAUUAAUUAAAUAUUAACUGACAUUGAGGGACGAAAGCUAAAGUAGCAAUACGGAUUCGAUACCCGAGUAGUUUUAGCUGUAAACAAUGAACACCAUUUAUAAAAAAUAAAUUAUAAAUAAAUGAAAAUGAAAGUGUUCCGCCUGAAGAGUACGUUCGCAAGAAUGAAACUCAAGACAAUAGACGGUUACAGACUUAAGCAGUGGAGCAUGUUAUUUAAUUCGAUAAUCCUCGACUAACCUUACCAUAUUUUGAAUAAUAUAAUUAAUAAUCUUAAUUAUAAUACAGGCGUUACAUCGUUGUCUUCAGUUCGUGCUGCAAGGUCUUAGAUUAAGUUCAUUAACGAACAUAACUCCAUAUAUAUAAUAAUUAAUUAUAUAUAAUAUUUCUAUCUUUUUGAUAAAAUGAAAGGAAUUAAGACAAAUCAUGAUGAUCCUUAUAAUAUGGGUAAUAGACGUGCUAUAAUAAAAUGAGAACAAAAUUAUAAAUAUAUAUAAAAAAAAUAUAGAAUUAAUAAUAUAAAACAUUUUAAUCUUUAAUAUAUUUAUAUAUUAUAUAUAGUAUGGAUUAUAAUCUGAAAUUCGAUUAUAUGAAAAAAGAAUUGCUAGUAAUACGUAAAUUAGUAUGUUACGGUGAAUACUCUAACUGUUUCGCACUAAUCACUCAUCACGCGUUGAAACAUAAUAUUAUCCUAAUAUGUAUAUUUAUUAAAUUUUAUUAUAUAUUUAUUAAUAUAUUUUAAUUAAUUAUUUAUAUAUAUAAGAAAUAUUACGAAUUAAUGCGAAGUUGAAAUACAGUUACCGUAGGGGAACCUGCGGUGGGCUUAUUAU
rnacentral:ncRNA from 1 species